GAUGAAGAACGCAGCGAAAUGCGAUAAGUAAUGUGAAUUGCAGAAUUCAGUGAAUCAUCGAAUCUUUGAACGCACAUUGCGCCCCCUGGUAUUCCGGGGGGCAUGCCUGUCCGAGCGUCAUUACAACCCUCAAGCUCAGCUUGGUAUUGGGCUCCGCCGACCCGGCGGGCCCUAAAGUCAGUGGCGGUGCCGUCCGGCUCCGAGCGUAGUAAUUCUUCUCGCUCUGGAGGUCCGGUCGUGUGCUCGCCAGCAACCCCCAAUUUUUUUCAGGUUGACCUCGGAUCAGGUAGGGAUACCCGCUGAACUUAAGCAUAUCAAUAAGCGGAGGA
rnacentral:misc_RNA from 1 species